AUACUUCUAGAUACAUCCAUUUCUCCAGCAAGCAUUUCCGGACAGAGGAAGUAUAUAUUACUUGAUGGAACAAGUAUUUUUUUUCAUCAAUCCAUUCACAGUAUGUAGUAUUAAUAAACACAUUGACUCUAGCCGUGAUUUCAGUUUCCUACAUUGGACAAGUGAAGUGUGGUAGCUGCUCACUGACACAAUGGAACAAGUUGAUAUUUGGGCGCCCAUCUUGGCCGAUCCACUCCCAAGACAACAGGCGGAGAUUGAAGUGCACUCAACAUAUGUGGAUUACGGCACCAUGGAUGGCACCAUGGACUUUCAAGCACUCUUGGAAGGACCCCAUGAUUUGGACAGAUGGCUGAAAGGUGCAUUCAUUCCUACUUAUAUAAAAGAG